GUGGGGAAUUUUGGACAAUGGGCGCAAGCCUGAUCCAGCAAUGCCGCGUGCAGGAAGAAGGCCUUCGGGUUGUAAACUGCUUUUGUACGGAACGAAAAGGCUCUGGUUAAUACCUGGGGCUCAUGACGGUACCGUAAGAAUAAGCACCGGCUAACUACGUGCCAGCAGCCGCGGUAACACGUAGGGUGCAAGCGUUAAUCGGAAUUACUGGGCGUAAAGCGUGCGCAGGCGGGUUGGUAAGAAAGACGUGAAAUCCCCGGGCUCAACCUGGGAAUGGCGUUUGUGACUGCAAAGCUGGAGUGCGGCAGAGGGGGAUGGAAUUCCGCGUGUAGCAGUGAAAUGCGUAGAUAUGCGGAGGAACACCGAUGGCGAAGGCAAUCCCCUGGGCCUGCACUGACGCUCAUGCACGAAAGCGUGGGGAGCAAACAGGAUUAGAAACCCCUGUAGUCC
rnacentral:rRNA from 1 species